AGACCAGUCACUGCCUGUAGGAAGCAACAUUCCCAAACCACAUCCAAGCCAUGGAGAAAGCCAACAAAGCCUCCAGACCUCAGCAAAGCAUCUCCAGAGCUGAGGAGAAAUGGGGAAUUCCAGGACAGGCUCAGGGACAGAAUUUUCUGUGGAAAAACAGAGAAAGAAAAUGAAAUUAGCAACUCCAAGCUCUGAACUGGAGGAAGCAGAGAGUGCUUCUGUUUUAAUAAUCAUUAGUCCUGUGCAGAUAGGGCAGUGACUCCAGCAUCCAUUUAUUUUGGGAAUUUGCCCCAGCCCAGGGCUCUGUCUGUCCCUCUGCCUGGGCCUUUUUUGUGGCUGCUGACUGGGUUUCACCAACCUUGACACUUAAAGGCCAAAAAUCAAUCUUCCAAGGACAAGAUGGCCAAGAUUACUAAAUUAUGGGCUCUUCAUUAUCUUGAGCUCCAUGUUGGAAUGGAGAUGAUGGCAGAGCAAAACUGGCCAGGAAUGAUUUGACAGAAGCAAGGAGAGCCCGUGACCCAUCCUGGUGAACAGGGAAGGGAAUUUCCAGGUAAGAAAUCUCCCUGGAUGAAAUUUCUCAGCCCAAUCCACUCCUGGUGGAAACCACCACCAGCCAGAGGAGGCUCCAGUGGAAGCUCAUAAAAUAAGAAGAGAUUAAAGAGCAUCUCAACAGCAGAAUGAGAUCUCCUCCCUCGUUAUUCAUGGAGGAGUUUCAUGUUUAAUAUCCAUGGAUUUAUCCCCGAGUUCCCUGUCCAGGACACCUCCCAGCUGCCAGCCUGGGCAGGAAAAUCAGCCCAUCUUUUUAGUAAAAGGCUGAUUUUCUGGUAAUGCCAUUAAAGAGGAGAUUUUGGAACAAUAACUAAUCUGUUCUCUGGGAUAUUUGCACACUGGAAUUCCUCUUCCCUUCCUUGAUUUUUUUUUUUUCCAUGAGGAAGAAAACUGAAUUGCUAUAGAUAAUCUAAAGCUGACCUGGCUGAUUUAUGGUAGAUAAAAUGAUUGGUGUGGAGCCCAUCUCAGGGAGUUUUAUCUUUUCUGGGGCAGAACUUUAACAGGGAAAAUUUAGUGCAGCUCUGAAAUCAGCAGAGCAAAGACCUGGUCCUAUAAAUUUAAGGACAUUGAAAUAUUCCAUAAUAUUUCAAACCCUUUUGGAGCCUCCAGCAGAAAGGGAUGGAGCUGAUUUGGGGGCCUCUCUGAAAUGAUGGAAACACCUCAAUUUGGGCUCAUCAGAGAUGAGAAUCAGGAAUGAUUUCCCUAACCAGCAAAGGAGAUCUCUGCUGUAGGAUCUGCCUGGGAUGGGACAUCAGGGUUCUGUUUGUCCUCACACCAGCACCAAGUGAUGUGGACAACCAAGACACUGGUGAAGAGUUCCUGUGGAUAAAAAGAAAAAAAAGGUGUUGAGCUGGCUCUAAUUCAGUGUCCAACAGCAGCUGCUGACAGCCAGGCAGGCAGGGCCCGUUGCACAGGGUGUUUUUCAUGGCUGCAAUCUCCUGUCGCAGCUUUUGCAGAAGUGGAAUUAAAAAUCUUCCCUGCUUUGUGGUGAGGACAGACAGAUGCUUUCCUGCUUUAAUUCCUGAGUGGCCAGAACAUGUUCGUUGACAUUUCAGCUUGAUGUUUUAAUUGGCUGAUUUGAAUAAAACUCAGACAGGUUGUGUUGCUCCGUUUGAUUUCGUGUCUCCCAGCCCAGCAGCCAACAAAAAGAAGACAGAGGGACAAGGAGGGGCGCUGACUUUUCACCUCUCUGAUUCUCUCCCUGUUUUGUUGAACUCUUAAUGUAUUUAAAUUCAUGCCUCUUAAAUUAGCCCUGUGUCCUGCAGGGGCUGAAAUUACAUGCAGCAACUGGGGCUGGAAGGACUGGUGGUCCAAGGGGAUGAGCCACUUCUUGGUGCUGUCCCACCAACCUGGGCCCAAAAUCCAACUAAAAUAACAUUUUUCAUUUGAAAUAGAACCAAAGCUGUGAUAUUGAAAACUCUCAGUGCUAAACUUCAUGAUAAAUUUUAUUUUUGGGGUGGAUUUUAUCUAGUAACCCUUUCUUUUGCUGCCAUUCAACUAAAAUUUACCCAGAUGGGUAAAAAUCCUAUAGAUUUUGUGGAGAAAAACUCCAUGUGUGCCCAGGGCCAGAACUGGAGCCUGUGUGCUGCUAUUUAGCAAGAAAGAGAGAAUUCUUUUCUCCAUGUAGCAGAAAGGAAAUUGUGCUUUACUGUAUUGUUUACCCUUCCCAGUACUUUAAUUUUCCCUUUGUUUAAUAUUUCAGCAGAAGCCAUUUAUCUUCCUGGAUGAUCAAAUAAACUGGGUGGUAAAAGAACGGAUAUUUAAUUCGUUGGGAGGGGAAAAAUGGUAUUAAAGGUGGACCAAAGGGAUCUGAUUUGGAAACAGAGUCCUGUGAGAUUUGCUACCUCACACUUGCCUCAGUGCCCAAGGGGAAAAAAGGGAUUUUUAUCAUCCCAAAGAAAGAUUUGGGAUAUUCUUUCCCAGCCCUGCAGUGCAGGGGGUGCAGCUCUGAAAGCUGAUAUUGGGCUGCUGAAAAAGAGCCAAAAAAAAGAGAUCAGGGGUAUCAUGAUGGGAAUUUCAGGGACUAUCAGGAUUUGGAGAUAAGGAGUAUUAGGAUGGGAAUUUCAUGAGUUAUCAGGAUUUGGAGAUAAGGAGUAUCAGAAUGGGAAUUUAGGGGUUAUCAGGAUUUGGAAAUAAGAGAUAUCAGGAUGGGAAUUUAGAGGUUACCAGGAUUUGGAUUUCAGGGGUAUCAGGAUCAGAAUUUCAGGAGUUGCCAGGAUUUGGAGAUAAAGAGUACCAGGAUGGGAAUUUCAGGGGUUAUCAGGAUUUCAAGAUAAGGAGUAUAAGGAUGGGAUUUUCAGGAGUCACCAGGAUUUGGAAGCACAAGGAGCUCCUUAGGACAGGAGGGGUGAGGUUCAAAUGCUGGGAAACAUCAAAAACAAAAGGUCCUGCCUGAAAAGGGAAAUUUUCUUUCAGCCCUCCACGAUCUUGAUCCCAGUUUUUCCAUGGCUUCAGAGGGAUUUUCUGGCUGGGACACCAGGCUAAACCUGACCCCCACUGUGGUUCUGUGCCUGAUGAGCUUCUUUACCAGUUUAAAGCAGGACCAGGUAUGACAGGACUUAAAAACCUCCUGGAAAUGGGAAAAUUUACAGGAUUUUUCCCAUCUAAGCAUUUUUUUGGCAGGCAGAAAGGCAGGAUUCUCUUCUUUCCCCACCAAACAUCUCAUGGGGUGCAAAUACUUCCCUUUUUCUACUUUUUUUUUUUUUUUUCCUACUCAGCCUUUUUCUGAUAGUUACUUAAAUAGAAGGUGCUGAUUUUCCCUGUGACAGCACAAAUUUCUGUCAGGGUGUACAUCAUCCUCCCUUUCAUCAUUUUACUCUGUUUUUUAGAGGAAAAAUGGAAAUUUAAUACUUAAGUGACACCUAUUUGAUUACAAACACACAUAAAACCCAAAACUUCAUCUCUUUCAAAUCUGUUCCUUCUCCCAGUUUUGAUGGAGAGGUGUUGCCUGGCAGACACAGAAUUUGUGUAGCACCAUCACCAGGAAAAGAGAUAAAUCAUAAAGAUGAAAGCCCUUGUUUCAUCCCCAUCUCUUUCUGCAGCAAAUUGCUAAAAUAAAACUCAUCAAGAAA